CCGGCACCGGUUCACCCCGGCACGCCCGUUCCGGCGUCCCGGGGAUCCGGCGGCC
ncrna:Saccharomonospora iraqiensis subsp. paurometabolica YIM 90007 L31-Actinobacteria ribosomal protein leader